rnacentral:rRNA from 1 species
AGUGGCGGACGGGUGAGUAACGCGUAAGAAUCUAACUUCAGGACGGGGACAACAGUUGGAAACGACUGCUAAUACCCGAUGUGCCGCAAGGUGAAACCUAAUUGGCCUGGAGAAGAGCUUGCGUCUGAUUAGCUAGUUGGUGGGGUAAAGGCCUACCAAGGCGACGAUCAGUAGCUGGUCUGAGAGGAUGAGCAGCCACACUGGGACUGAGACACGGCCCAGACACCUACGGGAGGCAGCAGUGGGGAAUUUUCCGCAAUGGGCGAAAGCCUGACGGAGCAACGCCGCGUGAGGGAGGAAGGUCUUUGGAUUGUAAACCUCUUUUCUCAGGGAAGAAGUUCUGACGGUACUUGAGGAAUCAGCCUCGGCUAACUCCGUGCCAGCAGCCGCGGUAAUACGGGGGAGGCAAGCGUUAUCCGGAAUUAUUGGGCGUAAAGCGUCCGCAGGUGGUCAGCCAAGUCUGCCGUCAAAUCAGGUUGCUUAACGACCUAAAGGCGGUGGAAACUGGCAGACUAGAGAGCAGUAGGGGUAGCAGGAAUUCCCAGUGUAGCGGUGAAAUGCGUAGAGAUUGGGAAGAACAUCGGUGGCGAAAGCGUGCUACUGGGCUGUAUCUGACACUCAGGGACGAAAGCUAGGGGAGCGAAAGGGAUUAGAUACCCCUGUAGUCCUAGCCGUAAACGAUGGAUACUAGGCGUGGCUU